GUGUCAGCAGCCGCGGUAAUACGUAGGGGGCAAGCGUUGUCCGGAAUUAUUGGGCGUAAAGGGCGUGUAGGCGGUAUAAUAAGUCAGAUGUGAAAGUUCGGGGCUUAACCCCGGAAUUGCAUUUGAAACUGUAAUACUUGAGUACUGGAGAGGUAAGUGGAAUUCCUAGUGUAGCGGUGAAAUGCGUAGAUAUUAGGAGGAACACCAGUGGCGAAGGCGACUUACUGGACAGAUACUGACGCUGAGGCGCGAAAGCGUGGGGAGCAAACAGGAUUAGAAACCCCCGUAGUCC
rnacentral:rRNA from 1 species